rnacentral:rRNA from 1 species
CAGUAGCCACGGUAAUACGAAGGGGGCUAGCGUUGUUCGGAAUUACUGGGCGUAAAGCGCACGUAGGCGGAUAUUUAAGUCAGGGGUGAAAUCCCGCAGCUCAACUGCGGAACUGCCUUUGAUACUGGGUAUCUUGAGUAUGGAAGAGGUUAGUGGAAUUGCGAGUGUAGAGGUGAAAUUCGUAGAUAUUCGCAGGAACACCAGUGGCGAAGGCGGCUAACUGGUCCAUAACUGACGCUGAGGUGCGAAAGCGUGGGGAGCAAACAGGAUUAGAUACCCGAGUAGUCCCUGUCUCUUAUAA